GGAUGGGAGGGCGAUUGGGCUGCAACAUCUGUCACCCCAUUGAUCAGCAGGGUUGGUUUGGCUGACCUGGCUGGUUAGACAGGUGUCCCCUCCUCCUUCACUGCUCCUGGCACGUUCCUCCUGAAGCUGCUCACUCGGUGGAAGAGGGCAACCUUCCCGGGGAGAGGAGGACUGUUCUUCAGUCAAGGGUAUUUGAGUAGCUGUGCUCCGGCUAGAACCUCCAAACAAGCUCUCAGGGCCCAUUUGUAGGAGAGCAUAAGGUUGUCAAGCUUCCAUACUCCAGACACAUCCAAAUCAGGCUCUACAUGUGGCACUCUGCCUUUCUUA
rnacentral:snRNA from 2 species